rnacentral:rRNA from 1 species
UACAGAGGUCCCAAGCGUUGUUCGGAUUCACUGGGCGUAAAGGGUGCGUAGGUGGCGGGGUAAGUCUGAUGUGAAAUCUCCGAGCUUAACUCGGAAACUGCAUCGGAUACUGCCUUGCUCGAGGGUUGGAGGGGGGACUGGAAUACUUGGUGUAGCAGUGAAAUGCGUAGAUAUCAAGUGGAACACCAGUGGCGAAGGCGAGUCCCUGGACAACUCCUGACACUGAGGCACGAAAGCUAGGGGAGCGAACAGG